UCGAUAUGAACAGCUUUUACUGCAAGGCA
rnacentral:piRNA from 1 species